rfam:Astyanax mexicanus chromosome 23, whole genome shotgun sequence.
GGCUCGUUGCUCUAGGGGUAUGAUUCUCGCUUUGGGUGCGAGAGGUCCUGGGUUCAAAUCCCGGACGAGCCC